rfam:Amycolatopsis methanolica 239, complete genome.
GGCGGUUCAGUCCGACCCCCCGGGGCUGAACCCUCGGCGACCCCCGCCCUCCCCCUGGCGGGGGUCGCCCCUU